rnacentral:rRNA from 1 species
GAGUUUGAUCCUGGCUCAGAUUGAACGCUGGCGGCAUGCCUUACACAUGCAAGUCGAACGGCAGCAUGAUCUAGCUUGCUAGAUUGAUGGCGAGUGGCGAACGGGUGAGUAAUACAUCGGAACGUGCCCUGUAGUGGGGGAUAACUAGUCGAAAGAUUAGCUAAUACCGCAUACGACCUGAGGGUGAAAGUGGGGGACCGCAAGGCCUCAUGCUAUAGGAGCGGCCGAUGUCUGAUUAGCUAGUUGGUGGGGUAAAGGCCCGACCAAGGCGACGAUCAGUAGCUGGUCUGAGAGGACGAUCAGCCACACUGGGACUGAGACACGGCCCAGACUCCUACGGGAGGCAGCAGUGGGGAAUUUUGGACAAUGGGGGCAACCCUGAUCCAGCAAUGCCGCGUGUGUGAAGAAGGCCUCGGUUGUAAGU